GUCGGGAUAGCUCAGCUGGUAGAGCAGAGGACUGAAAUUC
rnacentral:tRNA from 1 species